UCACUCUUCUUUCUCUUCACAUUGCAUAAAUCUUUCGCCUUUUACUAAAGAUCUCAAUGGGGAGGAACAACAAGAGUAUAAUACUAGUUUUUGAUGCCUUGCGGAAGUGGGGC